rnacentral:miRNA from 10 species
GAAAGCCCAGUUAUAUUUAAAUUUCAGAUACAUGAUGAAUUUUUUUUUAGUGUAAGUAUGUCCCAUGAAAUAUUUGGGACAUACUUACACUAGAAAUUAUUUGUCAUUGAUUUGAAAUGUAAAUUUUACUGGGUGUC